CUCCUUUAAGCGUGUUGUUACAAACCUUAUGCAGGCACUUCCACAAGCUUCAAGGACCAAACCACCAUGAUUUUUGUUUAUGGGAUUCUUUCAAGAAUGCUUAUUUCUCUCGCUAGCUAUCACUCCAAGCUUAUUAUUAUCGUUGUUUGUCAUUUUUAUUUUAGCUAGUAGUAAUAUUAAUUAGUUUUUUAUGUUGAUGAUUGUACUUCGUGACACGUGUUAAUGGGUUUGUUUUUCGAUGAGUUUUGAAGGUGGAAAGAAGGAUUGAUUUGGUCUAUGGAGGUGGUAGCGUGGGAUUGAUGGGUCUUGUUUCUCAGGCAGUUCAUGAGGGUGGGCGCCAUGUUCUAGGAGUUAUUCCAAGGACUCUAAUGCCCAGAGAGAUAAUUGGUCAGACUGUUGGGGAAGUAAGAGCAGUUUCUGAUAUGCAUCAAAGGAAAGCUGAGAUG
rnacentral:misc_RNA from 1 species